UACGUAGGGUGCAAGCGUUGUCCGGAUUUAUUGGGCGUAAAGAGCUCGUAGGCGGUCUGUCGCGUCGGAUGUGAAAACCCAGGGCUCAACCCUGGGCCUGCAUUCGAUACGGGCAGACUAGAGUAUGGCAGGGGAGACUGGAAUUCCUGGUGUAGCGGUGAAAUGCGCAGAUAUCAGGAGGAACACCGGUGGCGAAGGCGGGUCUCUGGGCCGAUACUGACGCUGAGGAGCGAAAGCGUGGGGAGCGAACAGG
rnacentral:rRNA from 1 species